rnacentral:rRNA from 1 species
GUGCCAGCAGCCGCGGUAAUUCCAGCUCCAAUAGCGUAUAUUAAAGUUGUUGUGGUUAAAAAGCUCGUAGUUGAACCUUGGGCCUGGCUGGCCGGUCCGCCUCACCGCGUGCACUGGUCCGGCCGGGCCUUUCCCUCUGUGGAACCCCAUACCCUUCACUGGGCGUGGCGGGGAAACAGGACAUUUACUUUGAAAAAAUUAGAGUGCUCCAGGCAGGCCUAUGCUCGAAUACAUUAGCAUGGAAUAAUAAAAUAGGACGCGCGGUUCUAUUUUGUUGGUUUAUAGGACCGCCGUAAUGAUUAAUAGGGACAGUCGGGGGCAUCAGUAUUCAACUGUCAGAGGUGGAAUUCUUGGAUCAGUUGAAGACUAACUACUGCGAAAGCAUUUGCCAAGGAUGUUUUCAUUAAUCAGGAACGAAAGUUAGGGGAUCGAAGACGAUCAGAUACCGUCGUAGUCUUAACCAUAAACUAUGCCGACUAGGGAUCGGACGGUGUUAUUCAUGACCCGUUCGGCACCUUACGAGAAAUCAAAGUGCUUGGGCUCCAGGGGGAGUAUGGUCGCAAGGCUGAAACUUAAAGAAAUUGACGGAAGGGCACCACCAGGGGUGGAGCCUGCGGCUUAAUUUGACUCAACACGGGGAAACUCACCAGGUCCAGACACAAUAAGGAUUGACAGAUUGAGAGCUCUUUCUUGAUUUUGUGGGUGGUGGUGCAUGGCCGUUCUUAGUUGGUGGGGUGACUUGUCUGCUUAAUUGCGAUAACGAACGAGACUUAACCUGCUGAUAGCCCGCAUUGCUCCGGCAGUGCGCUGGCUUCUUAGAGGGACUUUCGGCUCAAGCCGAAGGAAGUUUGAGGCAAUAACAGGUCUGUGGAUG